rnacentral:rRNA from 1 species
GGUUAAGCGACUAAGCGUACACGGUGGAUGCCCUGGCAGUCAGAGGCGAUGAAGGACGUGCUAAUCUGCGAUAAGCGUCGGUAAGGUGAUAUGAACCGUUAUAACCGGCGAUUUCCGAAU